UGGUUAAGCUAGAAAGAGCGCAGGGUGGAUGCUUGGCACUAAGAGCCGAUGAAAGACGUGAUAAGCUGCGAAAAGCUUCGGGGAGUGGCAAAUACACUUUGAUCCGGAGAUCUCUGAAUGGGGAAACCUGGCUGAGCAAACCUCAGUCGUCGUAUGGUGAAUACAUAGCCAUACGUCGGGAACCUGGUGAACUGAAACAUCUAAGUAGCCAGAGGAAAAGAAAACAACAUGUGAUUUCCAAAGUAGCGGCGAGCGAAAUGGAAAGAGGCCAAACCGGCGUGCGUGCAUGCCGGGGUUCGGACCGCGGAAUUGAUUCAGUGAGUUUAAUGGAAAGGUUUUGGGAAAGCCUGCCAAAGAGGGUGAAAGCCCCGUACAUGAAAGACGAGCUGACAUGGCGGUAUCCAGAGUACCACGAGACACGAGAAACCUUGUGGGAACACGCGGGGACCACCCCGUAAGCCUAAAUACUCCUUAGUGACCGAUAGCGCAUAGUACUGUGA
rnacentral:rRNA from 1 species